UGCUCACGGCCUCAAAUGUUACGAACAGAGCGAGAAUGUCUGUAAAUAAAUAAAUAAAGGUAUAAAAACAAACAUAAAAACUAAAUAACAAACAAAGUUCUGUUAAGUAAUUGACUAACAGGGAUCAUAGUAGUCUAUGGAGAUUAUUUAAAUGACUAUUACUAAAAUGUAAUUUGUAUAAAUUUUAUCACAGGUUUGAAAUGCGAUUCUAAGUAAAUCGAAUGCUCAGGUACAGUUUAGAGCUUAAUAAUCUAAUUAUUGCUUAACCUCUAUGGUUGCCAGGUGCUGAUUUGCUGUAAAAAGGAGGUAGCGUGUAUUCGUUGUUGACAUCUGUGGCUGGUUCGUUUAAUCUACCAAUUGGAGAGAGGUAAUACGAUUCUGGCCACGAUAUGUGCUUUUCCAUUUGGUAGAUUUCAUUCAUUAGUAAGUUUUCAUGGGUUUCGAGUUUUUCCAAGAAUUUCUUCUGGUGGCUUUGGAUAUACUUACAAAAAGGCACAACCCUGGACGUGUUGUAUAUAAUUUCUAACUCCUUGGCCACUAUUGGGGAAAUAGAGAACCAGAUCGGAAACCCGUACGCUAAGAUAGAUCUAAUUGCAACUUUGUAGAGAAGUAACUUCGUGUUUUGUGAUAGGUAUUUGCUAUUUAAUAGAUAUGAAAACUUUACUAAUAUACCUUUUGUCUUCUGCAUGACGGACCGUGCGUGUAUAUUGAACUUCAUCAGAUUGGUGAGAGUAAUACCCAAGUAUUUGAGAGAUGUUUUAAAGGGAAUCUCAACUCCUUCAAGAGACAGCUGAAGUUCUUUACUCUCUGGAACAACGUUUCUAGGGCAUUUUCCCGAAGCGUUCCGGAAACAUAUUGCUACGGAUUUAUCGGCAUUGAUUUUGAUUCCCCAUUUUUGAUAGAAUUCAUGGAUGCUCUGGAGAUGAGUUCUGGCGUUUUGUAAAUUAAGCAGUCGUCAGCAUAUAAAAUCGCUUGAGAGCCUUGGCCGAUAUGGGGGAAGUCAUACAGAAAAUUAUUGAAAAGGACCGACUCAAAUAACUUCCCGAUGUUGGACAAUAGUGAUAUUGGACGAAAAUUGCUCAAAGUGUUGUCAUUAAUUAUUUUCUUCUUUAUGGGAAUAAUUUUCGCCAAUUUCCAGAGUGAUGGGAAAUAUCCAUUGUUAAUGCAGUUGUUGAAGAGACAUGAUUGGUAAAGUGAAAAGAGUCUGGAUUGUUUAAUGAAUUGAAGUUAUCAUCAAAUGAGUAAAUGUGCGGUGGAACGGCGUUGAUGCAUGUUGUGACUCUAGAGCUAAGAUCGUCUACAGGCAAUUUCGGAACUUUCUUCAAGUUCUUCUUCAAGGGAUUGCCUGCUGCUUCCAAAAAUUGGCACUCCUCUGGCGAACUUAGGAUUAUCCUCCAUAUACUCAACUAGUGCCAGCAGCUGUGAAGUUUUUUCGUGCUGGAAUUGAGAAAAUAAAAAAAUAUAUAUUUGUUGUUCACAGAUUAAAUUGCAUUUAUUAUUUUUACUUACAUUUUUCUUUCCAUUUUCAAUUAAGGAAUGUUUAUGUUAAAACAAUUUUCCUUAAUUUUUAUCAUUCGACAGCAAACACACAAGUGACUGAUUUUGACAUUUGUGUUCGCAUGCGUACGAAAGAAAAAAGAUAGUAAGUAGUAAGUAGGUAAUUCUUUAUUUGAGUCUUCUUCUUUCUUUGAUAGGUUUACAUUACGAAUGGUUAACAGUAUACCCUUAGAACUAUUGUUGUCUUGUUCUAACUUAAUCGUGACAUAUAUGAUUAUGCUACAUUGCUUGAAUGAAAAGGCAGAAUGUUUAAAGUAAAAACAGAUUGAAAUUAUGAGAGAGGCUUGCUCACGGCCUCAAAUGUUAUGAACAGAGCGAGAAUGUCUGUAAAUAAAUAAAUAAAGGUUUGAAAUGCGAUUCUAAGUAAAUCGAACGCUCAGGUACAGUUUAGAGCUUAAUAAUCUAAUUAUUGCUUAACCUCUAUGGUUGCCAGGUGCUGAUUUGCUGUAAAAAGGAGGUAGCGUGUAUUCGUUGUUGACAUCUGUGGCUGGUUCGUUUAAUAUACCAAUUGGAGAGAGGUAAUACGAUUCUGGCCACGAUAUGUGCUUUUCCAUUUGGUAGAUUUCAUUCAUUAGUAAGUUUUCAUGGGUUUCGAGUUUUUCCACGAAUUUCUUCUGGUGGCUUUGGAUAUACUUACAAAAAGGCACAACCCUGGACGUGUUGUAUAUAAUUUCUAACUCCUUGGCCACUAUUGGGGAAAUAGAGAACCAGAUCGGAAACCCGUACGCUAAGAAAGAUCUAAUUGCAACUUUGUAGAGAAGUAACUUCGUGUUUUGUGAUUGGUGAGAGUAAUACCCAAGUAUUUGAGAGAUGUUUUAAAGGGAAUCUCAACUCCUUCAAGAGACAGCUGAAGUUCUUUAAUCUCUGGAACAACGUUUCUAGGGCAUUUUCCCGAAGCGUUCCGGAAACAUAUUGCUACGGAUUUAUCGGCAUUGAUUUUGAUUCCCCAUUUUUGAUAGAAUUCAUGGAUGCUCUGGAGAUGAGUUCUGGCGUUUUGUAAAUUAAGCAGUCGUCAGCAUACAAAAUCGCUUGAGAGCCUUGGCCGAUAUGGGGGAAGUCAUACAGGAAAAUAUUGAAAAGGACCGACUCAAAUAACUUCCCGAUGUUGGACAAUAGUGAUAUUGGACGAAAAUUGCUCAAAGUGUUGUCAUUAAUUAUUUUCUUCUUUAUGGGAAUAAUUUUCGCCAAUUUCCAGAGUGAUGGGAAAUAUCCAUUGUUAAUGCAGUUGUUGAAGAGACAUGAUUGGUAAAGUGAAAAGAGUCUGGAUUGUUUAAUGAAUUGAAGUUAUCAUCAAAUGAGUAGAUGUGCGGUGGAACGGCGUUGAUGCAUGUUGUGACUCUAGAGCUAAGAUCGUCUACAGGCAAUUUCGGAACUUUCUUCAAGUUCUUCUUCAAGGGAUUGCCUGCUGCUUCCAAAAAUUGGCACUCCUCUGGCGAACUUAGGAUUCUCCUCCAUAUACUCAACUAGUGCCCGCAGCUGUGUAGUUUUUUCGUGCUGGAAUUGAGAAAAUAAAAAAUAUAUAUUUGUUGUUCACAGAUUAAAUUGCAUUUAUUAUUUUUACUUACAUUUUUCUUUCCAUUUUCAAUUAAGGAAUGUUUAUGUUAAAACAAUUUUCCUUAAUUUUUAUCAUUCGACAGCAAACACACAAGUGACUGAUUUUGACAUUUGUGUUCGCAUGCGUACGAAAGAAAAAAGAUAGUAAGUAGUAAGUAGGUAAUUCUUUAUUUGAGUCUUCUUCUUUCUUUGAUAGGUUUACAUUACGAAUGGUUAACAGUAUACCCUUAGAACUAUUGUUGUCUUGUUCUAACUUAAUCGUGACAUAUAUGAUUAUGCUACAUUGCUUGAAUGAAAAGGCAGAAUGUUUAAAGUAAAAACAGAUUGAAAUUAUGAGAGAGGCUUGCUCACGGCCUCAAAUGUUAUGAACAGAGCGAGAAUGUCUGUAAAUAAAUAAAUAAAGGUUUGAAAUGCGAUUCUAAGUAAAUCGAACGCUUAGGUACAGUUUAGAGCUUAAUAAUCUAAUUAUUGCUUAACCUCUAUGGUUGCCAGGUGCUGAUUUGCUGUAAAAAGGAGGUAGCGUGUAUUCGUUGUUGACAUCUGUGGCUGGUUCGUUUAAUAUACCAAUUGGAGAGAGGUAAUACGAUUCUGGCCACGAUAUGUGCUUUUCCAUUUGGUAGAUUUCAUUCAUUAGUAAGUUUUCAUGGGUUUCGAGUUUUUCCACGAAUUUCUUCUGGUGGCUUUGGAUAUACUUACAAAAAGGCACAACCCUGGACGUGUUGUAUAUAAUUUCUAACUCCUUGGCCACUAUUGGGGAAAUAGAGAACCAGAUCGGAAACCCGUACGCUAAGAUAGAUCUAAUUGCAACUUUGUAGAGAAGUAACUUCGUGUUUUGUGGUAGGUAUUUGCUAUUUAAUAGAUAUGAAAACUUUACUAAUAUACCUUUUGUCUUCUGCAUGACGGACCGUGCGUGUAUAUUGAACUUCAUCAGAUUGGUGAGAGUAAUACCCAAGUAUUUGAGAGAUGUUUUAAAGGGAAUCUCAACUCCUUCAAGAGACAGCUGAAGUUCUUUACUCUCUGGAACAACGUUUCUAGGGCAUUUUCCCGAAGCGUUCCGGAAACAUAUUGCUACGGAUUUAUCGGCAUUGAUUUUGAUUCCCCAUUUUUGAUAGAAUUCAUGGAUGCUCUGGAGAUGAGUUCUGGCGUUUUGUAAAUUAAGCAGUCGUCAGCAUAUAAAAUCGCUUGAGAGCCUUGGCCGAUAUGGGGGAAGUCAUACAGGAAAAUAUUGAAAAGUGAAAAAACUUGCCAUCAACUUGACCAGGUAUGGGUCUAUACCAAUUUCGAUUAACUUGUAAAGUACUCCUGUGUGACAUACCGAGUCAAAUGCUUUUUGUAUGUCUAAGGAAAUCGCUACAGUAGACACUUGGUUCCUUAGGUUUGAUGUUAUAUCACUGUGGAGCUUCAGAAGCGCGUGUUGUGUGGAAUGGCCAGACUUGAACCCAAAUUGGUAUGCUGAGAUUGGACUAACUGGUAAUUCGUUUUCCAUUUUUUCUUUUAGGACCGACUCAAAUAACUUCCCGAUGUUGGACAAUAGUGAUAUUGGACGAAAAUUGCUCAAAGUGUUGUCAUUAAUUAUUUUCUUCUUUAUGGGAAUAAUUUUCGCCAAUUUCCAGAGUGAUGGGAAAUAUCCAUUGUUAAUGCAGUUGUUGAAGAGACAUGUAAGCAGAUUUAUAACAUUAUCUGGGAACUUUUUAAUGAGAAAAUUGGAAAUCUCAUCAGGGCCGCUUGAUUUUUUACAAUUGAUAUUAGUAAUUGCGAUUUUUAUCU